UCCUGUCAUGCUGAAGGUUAUCUCCCCAGUUGCUCUGAAAAAUCAGGUGACAACCAUUUCCCGUGAUGCUCUAAGGGCUGUCAAGCUGUCCAUCAAACUGUCACCUGACCAAUCGUUCCCAUGGUUCUUUUAGACUUCUCGUAUGAUAAAUUGAAAGGCACUAUUAUCUGCCUGUUGUGAAGAGGAACUGCUUAGGCUUUGAUAAGAUAUCACCAGUCCCAGGUGAGAGGAGGCUGACAGCACAUCAAGACAAGAAAACACAUGGAAGCAGUGAACAUGGGAGCAAAAGUGUUCAAAGGUAGAAGGGAUCUUCAUGAGGAACAGGAGUGCAGAGGAAGACAGGACUUUUCGCACAAGAUCAGGAAAAAAAAAAGUUUCAUGUAUAGAGUGGGAGAGAAGAAGCUGAAAAACAGGCAAAGAGGGAAGGGAAGCAUUUGGAUGCCACAGGGCAACAGCAGGUAAAAAGGGCUCAGUCACAGGGAACUCAGCACACAUGCAGAAGAUGUUAGCCUGGUGGAAGGCUAUGCAGUGAAGGAAUUCAAAGAUGGACAGAACUACUGGAUGAUCUUAAAAGUGGGUUUUGCACAGACCGGAAGCCUUGAGGGCAAAUGCUGAUGAGUCCAGGAAGCUCCACUGAGCAAGAAACUAAAAGUGAAUGGCCUGGUCAAGAGGAAAAAAAAAAAAAAAAAGUAGUAACAGAUUUCUACAUGCUUUGAUUAAACAGAAGGAGAGAAAAAGAGAAAAAAUAAGUCCUGGAUUAGGAAGUUGGAAGAUAGAGGACCUUCUGGAGUUUCCCCUUGGAGCUACCUUUUCCAGUCAGCUUUAACACAUUCCUCACUACAGUAUUUUGUUCUCCACACAAUGAUGCCUUUAGCAUUGACCCUGCAGGAACAGAGAUCUCUGGCUCUAUGAAGUUCUUUUCCAAAGAGGACAUUUUAAAUUAGUUAGAAAAUAUUUAAAUUAUCCUUAAACAAUGUGAUUGUAAAAUACCAUAGCCAUUAUAGUUCUGUAUUUUUCUCUACCGAUCAUUUAAAGAUGGAAAGCAACACAUGGAUACACAACUCUAUAGCCGUUUUUAUUAAUGUAUUAUGUCUACAGUGAAGAGUUAUUAGAAGAGAUACUGCUGCCUUCUUUCUUAAUAGUUUAAUUAUACUUUGCUUUUAGUUUAUUUAUUGUUUUUACCUGCUGAUAUGGAGUUUUGUCUGCACAGGUUGCAGAAAAAUGAAGAACAAGGCUGUGGAAAAGCAUCUGAUCCCGACCAGCUCCACACUAACCUGCCCCACCUGUUCUGUCACAGUUCCAGUAUUCCAGGUCUGCACCUCUUAAAAUAAGCAGCCCUUUCCAGUAGCCAAUGCAUGCUCAAUGAACUAUGACAAAAACAUUAUCUAAUCUCUUUUCUGUAUUUUAUCUCUCCCUUAAAAAUUCUGUUAACAAAUAUAGAAAUGUCACCAAUGUGAUUACAAAUGAAACUGAUUUGCUGUUCUAAUGACAAUAAUUGCAUUUGCCAACACUGUUGAUACAGUACAAGUUAUCAUCUGAUAGUUGCAAGAAAAAAGAAAGAGGGAAGUUAAAAUAGGACAGAGAUGAGCACAGUAAGAAAGAAGUGCAAAAAAAAAAAUCACUAAUUGAAGUGAUUGAGAAAGGGUUGUCUCAGAAAGUGCUAAGAGCCAGAAAGCAGCAUAGAAGAGAGAGGUUAGUACAAAAAUGGUCUUCAGUUAUGAGAAAUGUUCAUGAGAAACUUUCUUAGGAUAAUCUCCUUGUCUACCAUAAGUAGUUAUGUGACAUGUUUCCACAACUAAGAGCCUCACAAUCUUUAUGCACUAGACGGUAAAGGCAGGGGACAUCAAAACGUACUAAAGGAGACUGAGAUCCAGACUUAAAGUCCAGCUUUAUUUAAAGGACACUCAGCAGUGUCUUGCAUGGGGUUCAGAAGGUCACCCCAAGGAAUUUCGGUGUAGUCAUAUAGGAAAGCUGUCACAACUAAAUUUCACCAAGACUUUUCCUAGCCCUAAUUUUUGUAUCACUCUGCUUGUGUUGAAGGUAGAGGUUAGUUAGCAGCAGAACUUUAGAACUCUCUCACUGAAUUGUAUACACUGUGUCUAUUACAUGUACCGACAUAUCAGACCAGGAUCACCCCAUGAACUGGGAUCCUGUUUCAAUGUUUUGCAGUCUAAGAUUUAGAAGAAAGAGCACUGCAGACUACCGUGACAUACAGAAUCUUUACAUGAACUUCUCACACUGCAACCCACCAGGAACAGACUAAACAUCUCUGUCAGAAGUUAUUUCACAAUGGUGUAAGUUGACAAUGCAAUAGCUGUAGCUGAAGGUACAGAAAUAAACAGGUGAUAUCAUUAGUUAACCUGGACUGUAAACUUAGACCAACUUAUUAGCUAGCCCUUAUGUGUAUAUAUAUAUAUUUUCAUUUUGCAGCAAAUGCAAGGUAGAUUAGUUAUCUCUGCCUAGACAGACUAUCUUGAGCACCCUCAUAUUUACCAUGGACCGUAAGAGCACAUAACGUGGACAGACAUCUCAGAGCAGUCAACACAACCUAAUUUGUUAGUCUGCAGUAAUUUUUCCAAUACUUUAUCGUGUGAACACAUAUUUGCUGGAAUAGAUCCCUUUGGGUUUAUAAAACCUGCUGGAAGCCCAUAUGUACUACUAGUACAUGCUUACAUAAUACAACAUGAUGCUAGCUGUACCAUGGAAGUAGGCCAGAAACUUGCAAGAGAAACCAGAACAUCACUGAAAAUAUAUGAGAACAAGAACUGUCAUCCAAACUAACCUAAAAACCUUAACGUUACUACUUUUGAAAGAGUCUCUCCUUUUGGACCUUGGCCCUGCCUGUGUGUACAACUGAAUGGAGGCAAAUGUAAUAGGACUACUCAUGCAUAAAGCUAGUCACAUGCAUUAACAUUGGCAGGAACAAGGACUUUCUUUUCAUACUUACACUAGAGGAUAGUAAAAGAAAUUCUGUUCAAAGAAAUCCAUCAACUAAUUCAAACUCUGAGCUAGCUACUUCAGAGCAUAGUACAAUGGCCACACUCAAUGAGUCCAUUGAAGACCUGGAGACGAAGUAAAAACAGGUUUCUUUUUGAAGAACAUUAUGAGAUCAAUAUGGUGCUGUGGAUGUUAGGAAAAGUCACUUUAAUAAAAAGGAAAUUGCACAUAAUAUAACAAAACAAUUGCUAUUUUGAAGGCCCUG
rnacentral:lncRNA from 1 species